rnacentral:rRNA from 1 species
UACGAAGGGGGCUAGCGUUGCUCGGAAUCACUGGGCGUAAAGGGUGCGUAGGCGGGUUUUUAAGUCAGAGGUGAAAUCCUGGAGCUCAACUCCAGAACUGCCUUUGAUACUGGGAAUCUUGAGUAUGGAAGAGGUGAGUGGAACUGCGAGUGUAGAGGUGAAAUUCGUAGGUAUUCGCAAGAACACCAGUGGCGAAGGCGGCUCACUGGUCCAUAACUGACGCUGAGGCACGAAAGCGUGGGGAGCAAACAGG